rnacentral:lncRNA from 1 species
UCCACAAUUGUGAUAAUGAAAAUCCAACGGCCAAAUUUUGCACAAGGACAUUAUUGUCCCCAUAAAACCAAACCCUUAUCACCUCCCAAAACAACGCGGACCUUGCGAACUUUCCACGGCGCUUCUGUUUACCGUUUCGUCUCUGUACUCUAUAUCAGGUACGGCCAUUUCCUCUCACUACUUUCAUAAUAAUUUUUCUUUAUUCUCUAUGUAUGUGUGUGUGUAUAGAACUUUAGGGUUUGACUCGAAAUUUUCUGAUACAGCUUUGUGAAAAUCGGUGCAGCUUUUAAGGCGUUGACCGUUUUGGAUCACCUCCGGAUUUGAAUAAUCCGUCUAUUAGGUCAGUGUUUCCGAUGUAAUUAUCGCUUAAUUUGGUGGUUAAUUUGCUUUGAUUUGUUUUUCUCUUGUUUAGAUACUGGAGUUUGUUUUAGAUCUGUGCCUAAAUGAAUGAAUUUUGAGCUGUUUGAGAUCUAUGGAUGUACCUGAGUUAAAAGCAUGAAAUUUUGACUUAGAUCUACGGAUAUGUUAGUGCUAAAAUCUUGAAUUUUCAAUAUUUUCUUAGAUCCAUGUAUACUUUUGUGCUUAAACGCAUGGAUUGUGAGUUGGUUUUGGAUCUGUGGAUAUAUCUGUGCCACAAGCU